CCUGACGCAGCAACGCCGCGUGGGUGAUGAAGGCCUUCGGGUCGUAAAGCCCUUUUGCCGGGGAAGAUGAUGACGGUACCCGGAGAAGAAGCACCGGCUAACUCUGUGCCAGCAGCCGCGGUAAGACAGAGGGUGCUAGCGUUGUUCGGAAUUACUGGGCGUAAAGGGCGCGUAGGCGGCCCGUUUAGUCGGGUGUGAAAUCCCAAGGCUCAACCUUGGAAUGGCAUUCGAUACUGGCGGGCUGGAGACCGGAAGAGGUGGGUGGAAUACCCAGUGUAGAGGUGAAAUUCGUAGAUAUUGGGUGGAACACCGGUGGCGAAGGCGGCUCACUGGUCCGGUUCUGACGCUGAGGCGCGAAAGCGUGGGGAGCAAACAGGAUUAGAUACCCUGGUAGUCCACGCCCUAAACGAUGUGUGCUAGAUGUCGGGGGACUUGUCUCUCGGUGUCGGAGUCAACGUUUUAAGCACACCGCCUGGGGAGUACGGCCGCAAGGUUAAAACUCAAAUGAAUUGACGG
rnacentral:rRNA from 1 species